rnacentral:rRNA from 1 species
AAGGGAAAGCAGCAAUGCGCUGAAAGAGGAGUCCGCGGCCGAUUAGCUAGUUGGUGAGGUAACGGCCACCAAGGCGAUGAUCGGUAGCCGGCCUGAGAGGGCACACGGCCACACUGGCACUGAAACACGGGCCAGACUCCUACGGGAGGCAGCAGUGGGGAAUCUUGCACAAUGGGGGCAACCCUGAUGCAGCGACGCCGCGUGAGCGAUGAAGCCCUUCGGGGUGUAAAGCUCUUUCGGCAGGGACGAUAAUGACGGUACCUGAAGAAGAAGCUGCGGGUAACUACGUGCCAGCAGCCGCGGUAAUACGUAGGCAGCGAGCGUUGUUCGGAAUUACUGGGCGUAAGGAGUGUGUAGGCGGUGCUCUAAGUUCCGGUGUGAAAUCUCCUGGCUUAACUGGGAGGGUGCGCCGAAAACUGGAGUGCUCGACCGUGGGAAGGAAAGCGGAAUUCUGGUGUAGCGGG